rnacentral:rRNA from 1 species
GAUGAACGCUAGCUACAGGCUUAACACAUGCAAGUCGAGGGGUAACAAGAGGAAAGCUUGCUUUCCUUGUUGACGACCGGCGCACGGGUGAGUAACGCGUAUCCAACCUGCCUAUAACUAGGGAAUAACCUUGCGAAAGUAAGACUAAUACCCUAUGAUUUCCUUUGAUGACCUCAGAUUAGGAAUAAAGAUUUAUCGGUUAUAGAUGGGGAUGCGUCUGAUUAGCUUGUUGGCGGGGUAACGGCCCACCAAGGCAACGAUCAGUAGGGGUUCUGAGAGGAAGGCCCCCACAUUGGAACUGAGACACGGUCCAAACUCCUACGGGAGGCAGCAGUGAGGAAUAUUGGUCAAUGGGCGGAAGCCUGAACCAGCCAAGUAGCGUGCAGGAUGACGGCCCUAUGGGUUGUAAGCUGCUUUUAUACAGGAAUAAAGUUAGCCACGUGUGGUUAUUUGUAGGUACUGUAUGAAUAAGGACCGGCUAAUUCCGUGCCAGCCGCCGCGGUAACAC